AACGAACGCUGGCGGCGUGCCUAACACGUGCAAGUCGAACGUGAAAGUCCUUCGGGAUGAGUAAAGUGGCGCACGGGUGAGUAACACGUAGGUGACCUUCCGUUUAGAGGGGAAUAACCAGAAGAAAUUUUGGCUAAUGCCGCAUACGAAGAGCAAAUCUAAGAGUAGCUCUUGAAAGAAUGCCUCUGUAUAUGCAUUCACUAAACGAUGGGCCUGCGGAACAUUAGCUAGUUGGUGGGGUAAUGGCCUUCCAAGGCUACGAUGUUUAUCCGGUCUGAGAGGAUGAUCGGACACACUGGAACUGAGACACGGUCCAGACUCCUACGGGAGGCAGCAGUGGGGAAUAUUGCGCAAUGGGGGAAACCCUGACGCAGCAACGCCGCGUGAGUGAGGAAGGACUUCGGUCUGUAAAGCUCUGUUAAUGUGGAAAAAUGGUUAGCGGUCUAAUAGGCCGUUGAUUUGAUGGUACACAUAGAGGAAGCACCGGCUAACUUCGUGCCAGCCGCCGCAGUAAGAC
rnacentral:rRNA from 1 species